CUGCUCCAGUAACUGUCUGUGGUGUUUCAGAUCUCUGCUCCAGUAACUGUCUGUGGUGUUACAGAUCUCUGCUCCAGUAACUGUCUGUGUUGUUACAGAUCUCUGCUCCAGUAACUGUCUGUGGUAUUUCAGAUCUCUGCUGUGGUAACUGCUGACAUCUAUCACACUUAUUGCCAAGUCACCCAGUCUAAUGCCAAGUCACCCAGUCUAAUGCCAAGUCACCCAGUCUAAUGCCAAGUCACCCAGGUUGAGAUGCCAAGUCACCCAGGUUGAGAUGCCAAGUCACCCAGGUUGAGAUGCCAAGUCACCCAGGUUGAGAUGCCAAGUCACCCAGGUUGAGAUGCCAAGUCACCCAGGUUGAGAUGCCAAGUCACCCAGUCUAAUGCCAAGUCACCCAGGUUGAGAUGCCAAGUCAGCCAGGUUGAGAUGCCAAGUCACCCAGGUUGAGAUGCCAAGUCAGCCAGUCUAAUGCCAAGUCACCCAGGUUGAGAUGCCAAGUCACCCAGUCUGUGCCAAGUCACCCAGUCUAAUGCCAAGUCACCCAGGUUGAGAUGCCAAGUCAGCCAGGUUGAGAUGCCAAGUCACCCAGGUUGAGAUGCCAAGUCAGCCAGUCUAAUGCCAAGUCACCCAGGUUGAGAUGCCAAGUCAGCCAGGUUGAGAUGCCAAGUCACCCAGGUUGAGAUGCCACGACAAACAUUAUCCAUGUAGUUCCCUUUGAGUUGUCUUUACGUUUCCUCUUAGUUUGACCAACAACACUUGCUUUCUAUCUAUUUACCGUUACUAUGCCAUCUGUACAACGUUACAACGCCAUCUGUACAACGUUACAACGCCAUCUGUACAACGUUACAGUGCCUUUGGCCACAUAGGUCUACAUAACCUACUGGCUCAAUAUCUUGAAUGAGAGAGAGCCAGCCUGGUAGGCCAGAUUAAGGUUUAUAUAACAUUACGCCAUGGGCCAUAGGUUUAUAUAACAUUACAAUGACAUUGGUUUAUAUGAACUCCAACAUUUGAUGUGCAGCUUUGUUUAGUGGUGUUGUUGGUAUCACAGUAUAUUCUGUGUUUAGUGGGGGUUAUUGGGAUCCCAGUAUAUUCUGUGUUUAGUGGGGGUCGUUGGGGUUGUUGGGAUCGCAGUAUAUUCUGUGUUUAGUGGGGUUGUUGGGAUCACAGUAUAUUCUGUGUUUAGUGGGGUUGUUGGGAUCACAGUAUAUUCUGUGUUUAGUGGGGUUGUUGGGAUCACAGUAUAUUCUGUGUUUAGUGGGGGUCGUUGGGGUCGUUGGGAUCGCAGUAUAUUCUGUGUUUAGUGGGGUCGUUGGGAUCGCAGUAUAUUCUGUGUUUAGUGGGGUCGUUGGGGUCGUUGGGAUCGCAGUAUAUUCUGUGUUUAGUGGGGGUCGUUGGGAUCGCAGUAUAUUCUGUGUUUAGUGGGGGUCGUUGGGGUCGUUGUAUAUUCUGUGUUUAGUGGGGGUCGUUGGGAUCGCAGUAUAUUCUGUGUUUAGUGGGGUUGUUGGGAUCACAGUAUAUUCUGCGAAUAAAUGCAAUUAGUCUCGCUGAGGAUGAUGGGAUUUUAUAUCAGAUAUGUUGCAGAAGCUUUGAUUCUGUGAUGACUGAAAUGGAGAAUUUAUUUUACCCUCCAAUCGUUUUAUUUUAUUUUGCAAAUGUUUGUUUUUUUAAAUUGUAAAAUGAAUGUUUCUAUCGAAUAUUACUCUUGUAUAAUAUAGCCCUUUACACUCAUAUCUGUAUACAGGAUGAAACGGCAGAUUUGGGCACCUAGGUUGGAACGCAGUGACUGUCCAGUCACAUGACAGUCACAUGACAGUCACAUGACAGUCACAUGACAGACAUGUCAGAGGCUCUGUACUUCACAGCUCUGUGUUCUGACUGACAGCUGUUCUGAACAUGACCACCCCACUCAACAACAAGUUAGUUGCCCCCAUCUCUCCAGGUAAUUGGGCAACUUUCUGUCGUCUGAUUGAGGUUAAAGCUGUAAAUUAAGAGGUGUUUUUAUGUAUUUUGAAAGAUGAGAUGUUGAGGAUUAUAAUGAAUACCGCUUUGAUGUCACACAAGCAAACCAAACACCUGUUGAGUCCAAAUGUGGACUUGAUAUUUUCAUAUCAUAAAGCUCAUGUCACAUAGUGUCCAUGUUUAGAAUCACUGUUGUUUGAUGUACAGCUACAAGAUGACAUGGUUAAAAAACCAGGCUUUCAGUUCAAGCCCACCUGACCCAGGUUGAGAUUCAUAAUGGACUGUUUCUGGACUGGGUGAAACAACAACAGUCAUUGUGUGACGGUGGGGAUGCAGGGUUGUGUUUCAAGACGAAAGAACAAGUGUCCUCUAGUUCCUCACAGCUGGGAGAGGAGGAAAAACGCCUGAUAGCUGAAGACUGUUCGUUGAGUCAUAAAAGUGCAUUGAAAUGUCUUGUGAACUGUGGAGAGGUGUGUUGCCACUUGGAUACACCCCAGGUAGUCUUCUCACUCAGACCCUUGUAAUCGUUUUGUCUUGUGUUUCAUCUACCCCACGUUUUCCAGGAAUAUUCUUAUUAACAUGUUACUGAAUGUAUCCAGAGUAUUUUCAGAUUUCGUGAUCAACAAAUGGGGUGAAAAGUACAGAAAAAUGUAAAAAGAGCAUAAAACCAACCGUGUGAUGUUUAGAUUCAGUCUUGUCAGGUGAACUUUGGUCUGAUGAUUCUCCCAUAAGUUCCAGUGAUUCAUUUCAAUUGCUACCAUGGUAAUAAAUAUGCUUUUCGUAUUUCUAGUGUCAGAAACAUUUAAAUGUGGCCCUAUCCAUUUUGGCCGUUACACUGCUGGGAACUUAAGACUUGUUGCCAUGAAUUUAAAUACGCCUCUGUUUUGAUCAGUAGAAAACCUUUUAAUUGACAAUUUCACUUUCAAGCAACAAUAAAACCCCACAAAGAUCAAGAUUUGUUAUUUGGGUUGUUUAGUGUUUUUGAGGUUUCUGUUAGUAGCUAAACCAGAUUAUACACUGAGUGUACAAAACAUUAGGAACACCUUCCUAAUAUUGAGUUGAACCCCUGUUUUCCCUCAGUACAGCCUUAUUCAUUCUUUGGAGUAUGGUCUCUACAAGGUGUCCAAAGCGUUCCACAGGGAUGCUGGCCCAUGUUGACUCCAACUUCCCACAGUUGUGUCUAGUUGUCUGGAUGUCCUUUGGGUGGUGGACAAUUCUUGAUACACACAGGAAACUGUUGACUGUGGAAAAACCCAGCAGCGUUGCAGUUCUUGACACAAACCGGUGGGCCUGGUACCUACUACCAUACCCCGUUCAAAGGCACUUCAAUAUUUGGUCUUGCCCCAUUCACCCUCUGAAUGGCACACAUACACAAUCCAUGUUUCAAUUGUCUCAAUACUUAAAAAUCCUUCUUUAACCCCGUCUCCUCCCCUUCAUCUACACUGAAGUGGAUUUAAUAGGUGACAUCAAUAAGGGAUCAUAUCUUUCACCUGGAUUCACCUGGCAUGGUAAGAGCAGGUGUUCUGUACACUUGGUGUAUAUGGAGGUUGAAACCAAGCCUUCGUGGUCUGGCUGUCUGUCAUGUUGAAGGAGUUGACUUGAACAAAGCUUUUCUGCUAAUGUUGAUGAUAUCAAUCUGUUAUUUUACAUCUCUGCCAUGACAUGUAAACCUGGAAAAUAAAUACCCUGUGUCCUAUUCCACGUCUCUGGGGAUCUUUUUUCCUUUGGAAACGAGCAUAAUUAAUUCUCUGUAUUUCAUAAAGUCCCACCGUGUCCCAAAUGGCACUCUAUUCCCUCUAUAGCGCACUAGGGGGCCCUGUUCCCUCUAUAGUGCACUAGGGGGGCCCUGUUCCCUCUAUAGCGCACUAGGGGGCCCUGUUCCCUCUAUAGUGCACUAGGGGGCCCUGUUCCCUCUAUAGCGCUCUAGGGGACCCUGUUCCCUCUAUAGUGCACUAGGGGGCCCUGUUCCCUCUAUAGCGCUCUAGGGGGCCCUGUUCCCUCUGUAGUGCACUAGGGGGCCCUGUUCCCUCUGUAGUGCACUAGGGGGCCCUGUUCCCUCUAUAGCGCUCUAGGGGGCCCUGUUCCCUAUAUAGUGCACUAGGGGGCCCUGUUCCCUCUAUAGUGCACUAGGGGCCCUGUUCCCUCUAUAGUGCACUAGGGGGCCCUGUUCCCUCUAUAGCGCUCUAGGGGGGCCCUGUUCCCUCCCAAGCCAUUUGAGUCGGAGUAAAACGAGGCUCUGUGUUAAAUCCUUCAUUACUACCUGAGAUCUUCACUAAUGCAGUGGUUGAAUGGAGCAUGUUACUCCUUUACUACUAUGUCAUUACUAUAGUAUUCACUAAACAGACCUGGCCUCUUCUCGGCAGAUUGUGUAGGGCAGGCUUUCUUGGUUGACAGAUGAACACAACGAUACGGCAUGUCGGUCUGUCUGCAUGUCUGUCUGUCUGUCUGUCUGCGUGUCGAUCUAACUGCAUGUCUGUCUGCAUGUCUAACUGCAUGUCUGUCUGUCUGUCUGCAUGUCUAUCGAUCUGCGUAACUG
ensembl:lncRNA